AGCGAGGGGGUGGGGAAGAGUUCGUUGUUUGUUUACACGAUGUGAGCGGAAAGAGAGACCAAUAAAGUUUAUUCUGGAAACAAAAGGAAAAAGAGCCCGGGCGCCGGCGAGCAGAGCCGGGGGUGGGGGCGUGCGGCGGGGCCGGCGCCGAGUGGAGCGAGCCAGCCGAGCGAGCGGCAGUUCCGGUGCCGCGGCGGCCGAGGCUGGGGCUGGGGCGGCCGGCGAGGCAGCGCUCGGGCCCGGCCGGGCCGCUCCGCAGCGGCGGGGGAGAGGGCCCGGGAGGCGGGCGCCGCGCCGCCCGCUGUCCUCUCCCUCGGCGCUGCCGCCGCCGCCGCCCGCGGGGCCGGGACCCGAUGCGGCGGGAGCCGCGCAGCCUGGAGGAGCCGGAGCGGCACUGUUUGGGGACAGCCAUCUCUCUGAUUCCAUAAAGUGGUUUUCUAUGUAAAGUUGGCAGAGGAUCAGAACAAUGCCUCCACGGCCAUCGUCGGGUGAACUGUGGGGCAUCCACUUGAUGCCCCCACGAAUCCUAGUGGAAUGUUUACUCCCAAAUGGAAUGAUAGUGACUUUAGAAUGCCUCCGUGAGGCUACACUAAUCACCAUCAAACAUGAACUAUUUAAAGAAGCCAGAAAAUACCCUCUGCAUCAGCUUCUGCAAGAUGAAUCUUCUUACAUUUUUGUAAGUGUUACCCAAGAAGCAGAAAGAGAAGAAUUUUUUGAUGAAACAAGACGGCUUUGUGACCUUCGGCUCUUUCAACCCUUUUUAAAAGUAAUUGAACCAGUAGGCAACCGUGAAGAGAAGAUCCUCAAUCGAGAAAUUGGUUUUGUUAUUGGCAUGCCAGUGUGUGAAUUUGACAUGGUUAAAGAUCCAGAAGUCCAGGACUUCCGAAGGAACAUUCUGAAUGUUUGCAAAGAAGCCGUGGAUCUGCGGGAUCUCAACUCGCCUCACAGCAGAGCAAUGUAUGUCUACCCUCCCAAUGUAGAGUCUUCCCCAGAAUUGCCAAAGCACAUCUACAACAAGUUAGAUAAAGGACAAAUCAUAGUGGUGAUUUGGGUAAUCGUCUCUCCAAACAAUGACAAGCAGAAGUACACCCUGAAGAUCAACCAUGACUGUGUGCCAGAGCAAGUCAUUGCUGAAGCCAUCAGGAAGAAGACUCGGAGUAUGCUGCUCUCCUCUGAGCAGCUGAAGCUCUGUGUCCUAGAAUACCAGGGCAAGUAUAUUCUGAAAGUGUGUGGCUGUGACGAGUACUUCCUAGAAAAGUAUCCUCUGAGCCAGUACAAGUACAUCAGAAGCUGUAUAAUGCUGGGGAGGAUGCCCAACUUGAUGUUGAUGGCCAAGGAGAGUCUUUACUCUCAGCUGCCGAUGGAUAGCUUCACAAUGCCAUCUUACUCCAGGCGGAUCUCCACAGCCACGCCCUAUAUGAAUGGAGAGACAUCUACGAAAUCCCUCUGGGUUAUUAAUAGUGCACUCAGAAUCAAAAUUCUUUGUGCAACCUAUGUAAAUGUAAAUAUUCGAGACAUUGAUAAGAUCUAUGUUCGCACAGGUAUCUACCAUGGUGGAGAACCCUUAUGUGACAAUGUGAACACUCAAAGAGUACCUUGUUCCAAUCCUAGGUGGAGUGAAUGGCUGAAUUAUGACAUAUACAUUCCUGAUCUCCCUCGUGCCGCUCGCCUCUGCCUUUCCAUUUGCUCUGUUAAAGGCCGAAAGGGUGCUAAGGAGGAGCACUGUCCAUUGGCCUGGGGAAAUAUAAACUUGUUUGAUUACACAGACACCCUAGUAUCCGGGAAAAUGGCUUUGAAUCUCUGGCCUGUACCACAUGGGUUAGAAGAUCUGCUGAACCCUAUUGGUGUUACCGGGUCAAAUCCAAAUAAAGAAACUCCUUGCUUAGAGCUGGAGUUUGAUUGGUUCAGCAGUGUGGUGAAGUUUCCCGACAUGUCUGUGAUCGAAGAGCAUGCCAACUGGUCUGUGUCCCGAGAAGCUGGGUUCAGUUACUCUCAUACAGGACUGAGUAACCGACUCGCCAGAGACAAUGAACUAAGAGAAAAUGACAAAGAACAGCUUCGAGCACUUUGCACCCGGGACCCACUGUCUGAAAUCACUGAGCAAGAGAAAGACUUCCUAUGGAGCCACAGACACUACUGUGUAACUAUUCCUGAAAUCCUACCCAAGUUGCUUUUGUCUGUCAAGUGGAAUUCCAGAGAUGAAGUAGCCCAGAUGUACUGCUUAGUCAAAGACUGGCCUCCAAUCAAGCCUGAGCAGGCCAUGGAACUUCUGGACUGUAAUUACCCGGAUCCCAUGGUUCGGAGUUUUGCCGUUCGGUGCUUGGAAAAAUACUUAACAGAUGAUAAACUUUCUCAGUACCUCAUUCAGCUCGUGCAGGUCUUAAAAUAUGAACAAUAUUUGGAUAACCUGCUUGUGAGAUUUUUACUCAAGAAAGCGUUGACAAAUCAAAGGAUUGGCCAUUUUUUCUUUUGGCAUUUAAAGUCUGAAAUGCACAAUAAGACUGUUAGUCAGAGGUUUGGGCUGCUGCUGGAGUCCUACUGCCGUGCCUGUGGGAUGUAUCUGAAGCACCUGAACAGACAGGUCGAGGCCAUGGAGAAGCUCAUCAACCUGACUGACAUCCUCAAGCAGGAGAAGAAGGAUGAGACACAGAAGGUACAGAUGAAGUUUUUGGUUGAACAGAUGAGACAGCCAGAUUUCAUGGAUGCUCUGCAGGGUUUUCUGUCUCCUCUGAACCCUGCUCAUCAACUAGGGAACCUCAGGCUUGAAGAGUGUCGAAUUAUGUCGUCUGCAAAAAGGCCACUAUGGUUGAAUUGGGAGAACCCAGACAUCAUGUCAGAGCUACUGUUUCAGAACAAUGAGAUCAUCUUUAAAAAUGGCGACGAUUUGCGGCAAGAUAUGUUAACACUUCAGAUCAUCCGAAUUAUGGAGAACAUUUGGCAAAACCAAGGCCUUGACCUUCGAAUGCUACCUUACGGCUGUCUCUCCAUUGGGGACUGUGUGGGGCUCAUCGAAGUGGUGAGGAAUUCUCACACCAUCAUGCAGAUCCAGUGCAAAGGAGGCCUGAAGGGGGCGCUGCAGUUCAACAGUCACACUCUGCAUCAGUGGCUCAAGGACAAGAACAAGGGCGAGAUAUACGACGCAGCCAUUGACCUGUUCACAAGGUCGUGUGCUGGGUACUGUGUGGCAACUUUCAUCUUGGGAAUUGGAGACCGGCACAAUAGCAACAUCAUGGUGAAGGACGAUGGACAGCUGUUUCAUAUAGAUUUUGGGCACUUUUUGGAUCACAAGAAGAAAAAAUUUGGUUAUAAACGGGAACGUGUGCCGUUUGUUUUGACUCAAGAUUUCUUAAUAGUGAUUAGUAAAGGAGCCCAGGAGUACACAAAGACCAGAGAGUUUGAGAGGUUUCAGGAGAUGUGUUAUAAGGCUUACCUAGCCAUUCGGCAGCAUGCCAAUCUCUUCAUCAACCUUUUCUCAAUGAUGCUUGGCUCUGGAAUGCCAGAACUGCAGUCUUUUGAUGACAUUGCGUAUAUUCGAAAGACUCUAGCCUUAGACAAAACUGAGCAAGAGGCUUUGGAGUAUUUCACCAAACAAAUGAAUGACGCACAUCACGGCGGCUGGACGACAAAAAUGGAUUGGAUCUUCCACACCAUCAAGCAGCAUGCCUUGAACUGAGAUGGGAGCUGGGAACUGCAAGCUGGCGCAUUGUUUCUCCACUGCAUGGCAGUGAGUGACAACAGGCAGAUGGUGGCACGGGGAUGGCACAGUCAGGAACAACAUGCUCUAUAAUUGAAACACUGUACACGCAAACAGGGUUCGAUAGCACUAAACUAGUUCAUCUCAGAAUCCAGCUUUAGAAUAACGAGCAAUUUCAUGUUAUGCCUUAAGUCCAAAAAAAGGUAAACUUUGAAGAUUGUUUGUAUCUUUUUUUAAAAAAACAAAACAAAACAAAAAUCCCCAAAAUACAUACAAAUGAUGGAGACGAAAAGAGAAUGCUGUUCCGUUUGUCUUGCCAGGGUUCUGUUUACAAUGUGGACAAAACCGAGGCUGUGACUGCUUUAGGUCUGAGUCAGCUGGAGUUUAUAUUAAGUAAAUGAAAUUGGAGAAGAAUGGAAAUGCUUAUUUUCCCGUUGCUGUUCAGACUUACGGUUUGAAGUGGGGUUUGACUCCCGGCUUACUGACGAACAACACUUGGGGUGAUGGGGCUCGCUUUUUGCUCUGAACACACAGCCCUUUGAUGGACUUGGUCUCUCCCCCUGUGGUUUGGAAAGCAGUCACAAGUGACAACCUGCAGACAGCUGUGUUCUUGUUGGGUUUUGGUUUUUGUUGUUUUUUUCUGGACAGUAUUUACAAGGAUCUGACUUAUUUCCUAGGGAAAUUCUGGGCUGGCAUCAAGUACAGCAGUGAUCUAGAGGAGGCCAGCAGGGCUCCUGUUUCUGACCUGUACAGUAUUCACUUUGAGCUGAUUGUUUCUCCUUUGCAAUUGAACUGAGUACUUUUUUUCAUGCAUGUUUUCCAGAAAAUAGAAGGAUUAUUACAGUCAAACUCAGUGACAUGGUACAAAUCUACAGCUCUGAUGGUGGAAACUGAAGAAUUACAAAAAGAACUGUGUUUUCCUGAGUGCCAAAACAAAAACAAAAAACAAAAGCCGUGAGCCUCCUUGCACAAAAUUGGUAGUUUUUGCCUUUUUUUCCUGCAUUAGUUCAAGUAGUUACCACCUUCUAGAGUCUCUGCACAAUUAAAACACAACCACAUAGCUUAUUAUGCCAUUGACAACCACAUUAAUUGUACUGAUAGAAAAUCUAUGUUCUAUAAAGGAUAUAUAUAAAGAAAGAAAGGAGAAUGAUUUGUAUUAAAAAAAAGACAAAGGACUAAAAUUCAAAUCGAAACUGGGGUGAUGAGAAUCUGUUUUCAGCAAGCAAUAAUGUGCCACUCCCAGGUGCUUGAGAAUCAGAAGGACCUGCGGAGCAAUCACCUCUGUAAAUGGCUAUCCUUGUCAUUGAAUAUUGUGUCAAUCUUGACUUUGGCUCCAUAAUCUCACUAAGUCACUUGAGGAUGUUUCGUCAGUGAUUAUUUCUGGAAGGAAAGAAAGCAAACCUAAAGAAACUACACUGUAGCAAGAAGUAACUUCCGUCAUGCUUUCACUUCUUACCAUCGCAGCGAUGCGAGACCUUUAGUUGGAAGAUUUUUAGACUGCUGUUAAUUUGAAAUCUGUUCAUCUUACUGUGGAGUUUGAUUUGUCUGUUUGUUUGCUUUCUGUUUGUUUUUAAAGAUGUUUCUAAUUAGAGUUUUUACAAGAAGAA